UAUAUAUAUAUAUAUAUAUUUUGUAAUAUUGAUACAUAGGUGAAAUGUUUCACAUUGUUGUAACAUUUUCAAAAUAAAGCUGGUGGAAUUGUACCUUGCACUAGUCUGGCAGAAUUGUAUUAUAAAUCAUUGACAUCGCAUAGAUGAGUGAUUGUUUAUCUGUUAUUAUUGAAAAAAUAAUGUAAUAAAUGUUUGGUUCCUAAUGUAUAUAAUCCUAGCUGUAGAAUUUAAA
rnacentral:misc_RNA from 1 species